rnacentral:rRNA from 1 species
GCCAACACUGGGACUGAGAACUGCCCAGACUCCUACGGGAGGCUGCAGUCGAGAAUCUUUCGCAAUGGGCGCAAGCCUGACGAAGCGACGCCGUGUGAGUGACGAAGGUCUUUGGAUUGUAAAGCUCUUUCGCCCGGGAACAAGGGUYAGCGACGAAUAMUCGCUGAUUUUGAGCGUACCGGGUAAAGAAGCACCGGCUAACUCC